AACGUAUUAGAAAAUAUAUAUGACAUUUAAUUGUAUGAUUUGCUUCUGAAUAUUUAUUUUUAUUUUAAUCAAACAUAUAUAUAACGAAAUAAUGCAAGCAAUUAACUCAGCAUAAAAAUAUAAACUUUUAAGCUAUGCGAAAAGAAUAUUAAUUUUAAAAUAUGAAAGAAAAAAAAAAUCUCAUCUCAAAAUAAAAUAAAAUAUGAGUGUUGCAGAGGAAAAAUUCCACCACGUGUUGGCCAAUAGAAAUCCAUCUUGUUCCUCAAGCAACUCCAACCCACUCCCUUAUAUAAACCCAAGCCUUUCAGCUUGAGUCUGCCAUCUUCACAGCUCAGUUUUUGCUUUUCAUAUUUCUUCUUUUGAAUAUCAUGGGUCGUCGAAGUGGUGGUGGGUUCAGAUCCAGUAGUAGCAGCAGCGGAGGAAGUUGGUUUCCAUGGUCAAAAUCCCGUUCAUCUCCUCCUGUUGCUGCUGCUGAUAAGCCAUUGAAGAAUUCACCUUCACCGAAGCCAAAUCCGAAGCCUGGCAAGUCAUGAUCAUCUCAUUAAUUCCUUUACAAUUUUCGCAGUGCCUCAAAUUUUCGCAGUGCCUCAAAUUACCGACUUAAAAUUACAUUGUGUAUGUCAUUGUUGUUAUUCUAUGACUUUCAGAAUUUUGGUUCCCAUUUAUUGCAGCUUCUCCUGCUCCUGUACAGAGUUAACCUGCAGCAGGAGAUCUUGGUUCCUCAUUUACCGAUGGAAUGGCCUUUGGUAGUGGAAAUGCAGUUGGCCAUAGGAUAGCAGAUGCCGUGUUUGGCCCUCGGGUUUUUAAACACGAGGUUCAGGGGGCUGAUCCUGCCCCCUCAGCUGCUUCAUGUGCUGCCUCAAUGACAGCUUUCCAAGAGUGUCUCAAUAUCAACGGAGGCGACCUAAGCAAAUGUCAGUUUUACAUGAAUAUGGUGUGUGAGUGUCGCAGAAAUUCUACCACACUGGCUUGAUUUCAUAGACCUUGAAGACCAGCUUAAUAAUAUUAUGUUGACGAUCGACUAGUUUUGUUGGAUAGAGUUUUGGCUCUUUCGUUUUAAGUUAAUCACUAGGUUGUCAUUCAGUUCUAUUUACUACUUGAGUUCAUCUCAUUUUCUAUCAUCUUUUUCAAUAUCAUGAAUAUUAUAAAUUUUCAAAACAA